rnacentral:rRNA from 1 species
CCCGCACAAGCGGUGGAGCAUGUGGUUUAAUUCGAUGCAACGCGAAGAACCUUACCUACCCUUGACAUGUCCGGAACUUGCCAGAGAUGGCUUGGUGCCCGAAAGGGAAUCGGAACACAGGUGCUGCAUGGCUGUCGUCAGCUCGUGUCGUGAGAUGUUGGGUUAAGUCCCGCAACGAGCGCAACCCUUAUCAUUAGUUGCUACGCAAGGGCACUCUAAUGAGACUGCCGGUGACAAACCGGAGGAAGGUGGGGAUGACGUCAAGUCCUCAUGGCCCUUAUGGGUAGGGCUUCACACGUCAUACAAUGGUCGGUACAGAGGGUUGCCAAGCCGCGAGGCGGAGCCAAUCCCACAAAGCCGAUCGUAGUCCGGAUUGUUCUCUGCAACUCGAGAGCAUGAAGUCGGAAUCGCUAGUAAUCGCAGGUCAGCAUACUGCGGUGAAUACGUUCCCGGGUCUU